ensembl:rRNA 5S_rRNA 5S ribosomal RNA
GCCAGCAGCCAUAUCACCCUGCAACUCACUGCAACUGGCAACCCACUGAAGCUAAGCAGGUGUGAACCUGGUCAGUACCUGGAUGGGAGACCUCCUGGGAAAAACCAAGGUUGCUGCUGGAA